rnacentral:rRNA from 1 species
UACAGAGGUCUCAAGCGUUGUUCGGAUUCAUUGGGCGUAAAGGGCGCGUAGGCUGCGGGGCAAGUCGGGUGUGAAAUCUCAGAGCUCAACUCUGAAACUGCACUCGAUACUGCUCUGCUCGAGGACUGGAGAGGAGACUGGAAUUCACGGUGUAGCAGUGAAAUGCGUAGAGAUCGUGAGGAAGACCAGUGGCGAAGGCGGGUCUCUGGACAGUUCCUGACGCUGAGGCGCGAAGGCCAGGGGAGCAAACGGG